UGCCCCUCAUUUCCUGCUGGGAGCCAGCAAAGCCCAGCACUGCCCAACAUUUAGGGCUGCUCCAGCAUUUUCAGCUGCUCCUUGGCACUGGACUCCUCACCCCAAGGAUCCCGAGUCCCAGCACCUUUUGGGUGGCUGCUGAGCUCCCUCCCACAGCUUGCACAGGGAACUAAGUCCUGCUGGAGCUGCGAGACGUCGUGCAUCACUGUGGGCUGGUGUAAGCUGGGGAUCCCUAUUUUUCCAUUGGGAAUGACACUGUCCUGCAUGAUAAAAACACCACCAAAGAAACAUUGCUCCUGUAGCUCUUUCUUUGCCCUGGUGCAAGCAACGUGGACAAACGCGCCUGUGGGGUCCCUGCUUUGGCCAGCUCCCUGCGUCAGCACUUGUGGCGUGGUGGCACCAGGUGGCAGCAAGUGACCGGCGUGGGGAGAGGCUGCAGCACCCAGGGGAGCAGGGGUGGCCUCGGUGCUCCUGCACCCGCUGCACGCUCAGCAGCAGGGCCCCGGGCCUCCCCCAGAACGUCCAGGCACCGUUUGCGGGUCCCGCUGGAGCCCAUUUGGUGUUCGGUCCUUGCUGCAUGCCCCGGCUGGGCUGGCUCCUGGGGGAGCGUUUGCAGAGUCGAGGAAGCGAUACGAUGUCAACAAGCGGAUCUAAGAUGUUGCCCAAAUCUAUUUUUGUAGGGGUCGGAAAUAACUCCCUCUGGCCGGGGGAAGGCAGAGCACAUGUGUGCUUGGCCCUGCGCAUCGCUGACGGGGAGGAGGAGCUGCCCCUGUCCCCGUGCCCACUCCCCACCCUCUCCUGGCUGGGUGCCGAUGCCCUACAAGAGCACAGGGUCCAGCUGGGCUCUGCCGGGAGCUGGGUGUCCCAUGGCACCCACCUGCACCUCACCCAUCCCAGGGCAAAGCCCAGCUCCCGCCUCGCCUUCAGAGCUGGCUGCACUCGGGGUCAAAUUCUGUCCUUCCACGAGAUGUCCAGACUUUGAAGUUUAUGGACAAGUCAGCUCUGACAGGGGUUAACUCAUUAACUUGUGCUGAGACUGAAAGCAAAGCCCUUGGUGCUCCUGGGGCGUGAAGGCUGCUUCUCCAAGCUCUGGCUGGGAACGGGACACCAGGACGGGUGGGAGGCCGAGAGCCGGGGGUGCUGGCCCACAGCAAAAUUUUGGCUUCAGCUGAGCGCGGAGCCUGGGCCGGCCCAGCUCUGGAGCACGCGUGCACGGAGCUGGCACGCGGCAAAUGUGAUCAACAACCUCUUCCUGUUGUGCAACCGCCGCUAGCAGCCCACGUAGAGAAUUUUUGGGAGAUUUGUCAGGCCUUUUGUGCUUCCAGAUAGUGUUUAUUUGCUCGUUUCAGGUCUUGCUUUCAGAAGGGAGGGAUUCAAACAGCGCAGGCCGAGGCACGAAGCGCUGCCAUGAGCCCCGCCACCCUUGUCCUGGCCGCGGCGUCCCCGUGCGUGGCUCUGCGCUCCUGCUGGCCCCGCGGCCGAGCUUUGGCACAAACGUUAUUUACAUUUUCACCAGGCAGCCUUCACGUGGUCCUGCCCUUAUAUAAUAGUUUAACCCGGGACAUGGGGCUGCUCAACCAUCCCUGCCCACGCUGGGGGACCCUGGGCUUUGGUACCAGCCCCCCCCCACCCCCAGGCCCUGUGUGGCACUGCUGAGCUCGACCCCUGCCACGUGGGCCCGUGUGAGUUCUGCCUGUGGGGCUUUGGGCUGGGACGUGAGCCCCUCUGUGCUCCCACACCUGCCCCUUCCCUGCCUUCCCCAGCCUGGGUUUUGGCCUGAUCCCCUCCUGGAUCGUCCUGGGGUGAUCCGGCUGGC